rnacentral:RNase_P_RNA from 3 species
UGAGUAAGUCAGAUAGUCGCGUGUAAUUUACAUGAGGAAAGUCCGAGCUCCUUAGGGCAGGAUGCUGGGCAAUACCCAGUGGGGGUGACCCCAAGGAAAGUGCAACAGAAAUAUACCGCCAGAGCCCUUUUUCGGCAACCAUACUGAAUUUGUGGUGAGAGCAGUGAAAUGUGAGACUGACUGGCAAGGAUGGAAAGGCGAGUUAAAAGCUUCACCAGCAAUUAGGCGACUAAUUGGCUCUGUAAACCCCAUCUGGAGCAAGACCAAGUUAAGGAUAAAUAGAGCAGUGGCCCGCUGCUUUCCUAAUGGUAGGUCGCAAGAACCUAUUGGCAACAAUAGGUCAUAGAUAGAUGGCUAUCUAAUACAGAACUCGGCUUACAGACUUACUCGAAUU